GACGAACGCUGGCGGCGUGCUUAACACAUGCAAGUCGAACGGAAAGGCCCUGCUUUUGUGGGUUGCUCGAGUGGCGAACGGGUGAGUAACACGUGAGUAACCUGCCCUUGACUUUGGGAUAACUUCAGGAAACUGGGGCUAAUACCGGAUAGGAGCUCCUGCGGCAUGGUGGGGGUUGGAAAGUUUCGGCGGUUGGGGAUGGACUCGCGGCUUAUCAGCUUGUUGGUGGGGUAGUGGCUUACCAAGGCUUUGACGGGUAGCCGGCCUGAGAGGGUGACCGGCCACAUUGGGACUGAGAUACGGCCCAGACUCCUACGGGAGGCAGCAGUGGGGAAUAUUGCACAAUGGGCGGAAGCCUGAUGCAGCGACGCCGCGUGCGGGAUGACGGCCUUCGGGUUGAAAACCGCUUUCGCCUGUGACGAAGCGUGAGUGACGGUAAUGGGUAAAGAAGCACCGGCUAACUACGUG
rnacentral:rRNA from 1 species